GAUGAACGCUGGCGGCGUGCCUAAUACAUGCAAGUCGAGCGAACAGACGAGGAGCUUGCUCCUCUGACGUUAGCGGCGGACGGGUGAGUAACACGUGGAUAACCUACCUAUAAGACUGGGAUAACUUCGGGAAACCGGAGCUAAUACCGGAUAAUAUAUUGAACCGCAUGGUUCAAUAGUGAAAGACGGUUUUGCUGUCACUAAUAGAUGGAUCCGCGCCGCAUUAGCUAGUUGGUAAGGUAACGGCUUACCAAGGCAACGAUGCGUAGCCGACCUGAGAGGGUGAUCGGCCACACUGGAACUGAGACACGGUCCAGACUCCUACGGGAGGCAGCAGUAGGGAAUCUUCCGCAAUGGGCGAAAGCCUGACGGAGCAACGCCGCGUGAGUGAUGAAGGUCUUCGGAUCGUAAAACUCUGUUAUUAGGGAAGAACAAAUGUGUAAGUAACUAUGCACGUCUUGACGGUACCGAAUCAGAAAGCCACGGCUAACUACGUG
rnacentral:rRNA from 1 species